rfam:Schistosoma haematobium scaffold772_3, whole genome shotgun sequence.
GUCCGGCUGAUGAGUCUCAAAUAGGACAAAACAUGAGUCCUGGAU